UUAUUUCUUUUUUUCUCUUCUCUCUCUCUUCUCAUUCCUUAGUCGAGUUAUUUGAAAAGGAGACGCCGCCCCUUCUCUAUCCCCCUCUCAAACCCUCCCCUCAACCAAAAUAUUGAGCCAAAUCCAUUGAAACUUGGAGGACUUCAUCAUGUUGAGGUCCUCCACCUAUUCCCUCCAUUGAUUUGAAGUUUCGCGAGUGGAAUCGAUAGAUCGAGUAAACACAUCAGAUCCUGCUUUUCCUACUGGCUUCUUAGAUAAAAAGCAAGGAAAGCAAAAGGUUGCAUCUUUUGUUGGCGAGUAUUCUAACCAAGAAAAAGUUUCAAACCACUGUGACUGAAACCUCCGUGGAUGAUUCUUUGGACCUGAAGGGGUGUAAGAAAAAAUCUGGCAACGUAAGCCUGGGUCUCUUUCUACAACCAACACACCAGUAUCUUCAAAAUUUACUCGACGAACCUUAGGAGAUGGUUGUUCUGGAGCUUCCUCUUAUUGUGCAGCAAGCCAAUUAGCAAUUUCAUAUUACUCAGAAUCAGAACUAUUUUGUUCUUGUUCUCUUGGGACAUCGACAACAAUAUCUUUAUUAUAAAAAAUAUCAAUUGUUGUUCUUUUGAA